UACGUAGGUGGCAAGCGUUGUCCGGAAUUAUUGGGCGUAAAGAGCUUGUAGGCGGUUUGUCGCGUCUGCUGUGAAAUUUCGGGGCUCAACCCCGAACUUGCAGUGGGUACGGGCAGGCUAGAGUGUGGUAGGGGAGACUGGAAUUCCUGGUGUAGCGGUGAAAUGCGCAGAUAUCAGGAGGAACACCGAUGGCGAAGGCAGGUCUCUGGGCCACUACUGACGCUGAGAAGCGAAAGCAUGGGGAGCGAACAGG
rnacentral:rRNA from 1 species